UCCUACGGGAGGCAGCAGUGGGGAAUAUUGGACAAUGGGCGCAAGCCUGAUCCAGCCAUGCCGCGUGUGUGAAGAAGGCCUUCGGGUUGUAAAGCACUUUUGUUGGGAAAGAAAUCCUGUCGGUUAAUACCCGGCGGGGCUGACGGUACCCAAAGAAUAAGCACCGGCUAACUUCGUGCCAGCAGCCGCGGUAAUACGAAGGGUGCAAGCGUUACUCGGAAUUACUGGGCGUAAAGCGUGCGUAGGUGGUUUGUUAAGUCAGAUGUGAAAGCCCCGGGCUCAACCUGGGAAUUGCAUUUGAUACUGGCAGACUAGAGUGCGGUAGAGGAGAGUGGAAUUCCCGGUGUAGCAGUGAAAUGCGUAGAGAUCGGGAGGAACAUCAGUUGCGAAGGCGGCUCUCUGGACCAGCACUGACACUGAGGCACGAAAGCGUGGGGAGCAAACAGGAUUAGAUACCCUGGUAG
rnacentral:rRNA from 1 species